GACGAACGCUGGCGGCGUGCUUAACACAUGCAAGUCGAGCGGUAAGGCCCUUUCGGGGGUACACGAGCGGCGAACGGGUGAGUAACACGUGGGUGACCUGCCUUUAGCUCUGGGAUAAGCCUGGGAAACCGGGUCUAAUACCGGAUAUGACUCCGCGGCGCAUGUUGUGGGGUGGAAAGCCUUGUGCGGCUGGAGAUGGGCCCGCGGCCUAUCAGCUUGUUGGUGGGGUGAUGGCCUACCAAGGCGACGACGGGUAGCCGGCCUGAGAGGGCGACCGGCCACACUGGGACUGAGACACGGCCCAGACUCCUACGGGAGGCAGCAGUGGGGAAUCUUGCGCAAUGCGCGAAAGCGUGACGCAGCAACGCCGCGUGGGGAAGAC
rnacentral:rRNA from 1 species